rnacentral:rRNA from 1 species
GAUGAACGCUGGCUUCGUGCCUAAUACAUGCAAGUCGAGCGAACAGAUAAGGAGCUUGCUCCUUUGACGUUAGCGGCGGACGGGUGAGUAACACGUGGGUAACCUACCUAUAAGACUGGGAUAACUUCGGGAAACCGGAGCUAAUACCGGAUAAUAUUUCGAACCGCAUGGUUCGAUAGUGAAAGAUGGUUUUGCUAUCACUUAUAGAUGGACCCGCGCCGUAUUAGCUAGUUGGUAAGGUAACGGCUUACCAAGGCGACGAUACGUAGCCGACCUGAGAGGGUGAUCGGCCACACUGGAACUGAGACACGGUCCAGACUCCUACGGGAGGCAGCAGUAGGGAAUCUUCCGCAAUGGGCGAAAGCCUGACGGAGCAACGCCGCGUGAGUGAUGAAGGUCUUCGGAUCGUAAAACUCUGUUAUUAGGGAAGAACAUACGUGUAAGUAACUGUGCACGUCUUGACGGUACCUAAUCAGAAAGCCACGGCUAACUACGUGCCAGCAGCCGCGGUAAUACGUAGGUGGCAAGCGUUAUCCGGAAUUAUUGGGCGUAAAGCGCGCGUAGGCGGUUUUUUAAGUCUGAUGUGAAAGCCCACGGCUCAACCGUGGAGGGUCAUUGGAAACUGGAAAACUUGAGUGCAGAAGAGGAAAGUGGAAUUCCAUGUGUAGCGGUGAAAUGCGCAGAGAUAUGGAGGAACACCAGUGGCGAAGGCGACUUUCUGGUCUGUAACUGACGCUGAUGUGCGAAAGCGUGGGGAUCAAACAGGAUUAGAUACCCUGGUAGUCCACGCCGUAAACGAUGAGUGCUAAGUGUUAGGGGGUUUCCGCCCCUUAGUGCUGCAGCUAACGCAUUAAGCACUCCGCCUGGGGAGUACGACCGCAAGGUUGAAACUCAAAGGAAUUGACGGGGACCCGCGCAAGCGGUGGAGCAUGUGGUUUAAUUCGAAGCAACGCGAAGAACCUUACCAAAUCUUGACAUCCUUUGACAACUCUAGAGAUAGAGCUUCCCCCUUCGGGGGACAAAGUGACAGGUGGUGCAUGGUUGUCGUCAGCUCGUGUCGUGAGAUGUUGGGUUAAGUCCCGCAACGAGCGCAACCCUUAAGCUUAGUUGCCAUCAUUAAGUUGGGCACUCUAAGUUGACUGCCGGUGACAAACCGGAGGAAGGUGGGGAUGACGUCAAAUCAUCAUGCCCCUUAUGAUUUGGGCUACACACGUGCUACAAUGGACAAUACAAAGGGCAGCGAAACCGCGAGGUCAAGCAAAUCCCAUAAAGUUGUUCUCAGUUCGGAUUGUAGUCUGCAACUCGACUACAUGAAGCUGGAAUCGCUAGUAAUCGUAGAUCAGCAUGCCUACGGUGAAUACGUUCCCGGGUCU